rnacentral:rRNA from 1 species
CUCGUGGAGCGGCCGAUAUGUGAUUAGCUAGUUGGUAGGGUAAAAGCCUACCAAGGCAUCGAUCAGUAGCUGGUCUGAGAGGACGGCCAGCCACACUGGAAGUGAGACACGGUCCAGACUCCUACGGGAGGCAGCAGUGGGGAAUUUUGGACAAUGGGCGAAAGCCUGAUCCAGCAGUGCCGCGUGAGUAAAGAAGGCCUUCGGGUGUAAAGCAAUGGGUCAGGGAAGAAACGGUGAAGGCUAAUAUCUUUGCUA